rnacentral:rRNA from 1 species
UGAGGAAUAUUGGGCAAUGCCCGAAAGGGUGACCCAGCAACGCCGCGUGGAGGAUGAAGGUCGUAAGAUUGUAAACUCCUGUUAGAGGGGAAGAAUAACUAAGUUUGGAGCUUAGUAUGACUGUACCCCUCAGAGAAACGCCCCGGCUAACUACGUGCCAGCAGCCGCGGUAAUACGGUAGGGGGCAAGCGUUGUCCGGUAUUUACGUGGGUAGUAAAGGGCGCGCAGGGCGGAAUGGAAAGUCAGUGGUAGAAAUCCUACAGCUUAACUGUAGAACUGCCUUUGAUACUUUCAUUCUUGAGUUCGGGAGAGAGAGACGGAAUUCCAGGUGUAGUGGUGAAAUACGUAGAUAUCUGGAAGAACACCAGUUGCGAAGGCGGUCUCUUGGUCCGAUACUGACGCUGAGGCGCGAAAGCGUGGGGAGCAAACAGGAUUAGAUACCCUUGUAG